AACGAACGCUGGCGGCAUGCCUAACACAUGCAAGUCGAACGAGACCUUCGGGUCUAGUGGCGCACGGGUGCGUAACGCGUGGGAACCUGCCCUUAGGUUCGGAAUAACUCCCCGAAAGGGGUGCUAAUACCGGAUAAUGUCUUCGGACCAAAGAUUUAUCGCCUUUGGCUGGGCCCGCGUUGGAUUAGCUUGUUGGUAGGGUAAAAGCCUACCAAGGCGACGAUCCAUAGCUGGUCUGAGAGGAUGAUCAGCCACACUGGGACUGAGACACGGCCCAGACUCCUACGCGAGGCAGCAGUGGGGAAUAUUGGACAAUGGGCGAAAGCCUGAUCCAGCAAUGCCGCGUGAGUGAUGAAGGCCUUAGGGUUGUAAAGCUCUUUUACCCGGGAUGAUAAUGACAGUACCGGGAGAAUAAGCUCCGGCUAACUCCGUG
rnacentral:rRNA from 1 species